GUUUCUUAAGGCUGCUGAGAGCUGUUAGGAAGCCCCUGUUCUCCUCAGAGUUACAAUUUCUGGAAUGUUUUAAGAAUUUACCCCUCUUCCACAGGGAGCUCUGGGAACUGUGGCUCUGUUCUAAGGGCGUGUUUUAAACGGGCAUUGGAUGUGCUUUAAAUGUGUGGCAUGAACCUGCCCCAUUGAACUCAAUAGGGCUUGCUUAUGAAUGGAGAGGGCUGGGAAUGCCUCCUGUCUAAACUCUCAUCAUCCCUAACCAUGGGGAUAAUGGCCCCAAGGUUCCCAAUCCUAACUGUAAGGGGGCAAGUCCUCCUGGGUGUGAGGAUCUGGAUUGAGACCCAGUUGCCACAACUUUAAUUCAUUUUUCCUUCUAAGGUUUAAGGGAGCUAUUUGUCAUCAGGAUAAUGUUAACUUUUCUCCUGUGCUAAUUGAUCAUUUGUUUUAUAACUAGCAGCCAACCGUAAAUGGACCUUCUGGUUUGUUUUUUUUAUUUGUAUCUUGUUGAGCAAGAAGUACCUGCUUAUGUGAUUCAGCCUGCUGAUGGCUUUCAAGAAAGUGAGCACAAAAUCAUUUUCUAAAUGUUAAUUUAUUUACUGAAGGGUCUAAGAGGGAGGCGGGGUUAGCAGUAUUCUUAGUGGUAACUGUAAUGCUUCCAAGGAACAAGAGAAGAAGAAGAAGAAGAAGAAGAAGAAGAAGAAGAAGAAGAAGAAGAAGAAGAAGAAGAAGAAGAGGAGGAGGAGGAGGAGGAGAAGGAGGAGGAGGAGGAAUCAAACAAUCCCGUUAUUGAUUGGUACCAACAGUCUAGGUGGAAUUACAUUUCUUUUGCCGCCAUGGCAAUUCGCAUCUGUAAGAACGCAUCUCAUCCAAGC